rnacentral:rRNA from 1 species
GACGAACGCUGGCGGCGUGCUUAACACAUGCAAGUCGAACGGUGAACUCCGCUUGCGGGGGGAUCAGUGGCGAACGGGUGAGUAACACGUGGUCAACCUGCCCUCAGCUCUGUGAUAACUCCAAGAAAUUGGGGCUAAUACCGGAUAUGACCGCUGACCGCAUGUUCUGGUGGUGGAAAGAUUUAUCGGCUGGGGAUGGGCCCGCGGCCUAUCAGCUUGUUGGUGGGGUAGUGGCCUACCAAGGCGACGACGGGUAGCCGGCCUGAGAGGGUGACCGGCCAAACUGGGACUGAGACACGGCCCAGACUCCUACGGGAGGCAGCAGUGGGGAAUAUUGCGCAAUGGGCGAAAGCCUGACGCAGCGACGCCGCGUGGGGGAUGACGGCCUUCGGGUUGUAAACCUCUUUCAGCAGGGACGAAGCGAAAGUGACGGUACCUGCAGAAGAAGCACCGGCCAACUACGUG